rnacentral:rRNA from 1 species
AGAGUUUGAUCCUGGCUCAGGAUGAACGCUAGCGGCAGGCCUAAUACAUGCAAGUCGAACGGGAUUCAGAUAGCAAUAUUUGAUGAGAGUGGCGCACGGGUGCGUAACGCGUAUGCAACCUACCUCUAACAGGGGAAUAGCUCCGAGAAAUCGGGAUUAAUACCUCAUAGUAUCCCGAUAUGGCAUCAUAUCGGGAUUAAAGUUACGGCGGUUAGAGAUGGGCAUGCGUGCCAUUAGCUAGUUGGUGAGGUAACGGCUCACCAAGGCGACGAUGGCUAGGGGUUCUGAGAGGAUUAUCCCCCACACUGGUACUGAGACACGGACCAGACUCCUACGGGAGGCAGCAGUAAGGAAUAUUGGUCAAUGGACGCAAGUCUGAACCAGCCAUGCCGCGUGCAGGAAGACGGCCUUACGGGUUGUAAACUGCUUUUGUCAGGGAAUAAACCCCUCGAUGCGUCGGGGGCUGAAGGUACCUGAAG